rnacentral:rRNA from 1 species
CAGCAGCCGCGGGAAAACGAACCGUGCUAACGUUAUUCGGAAUUACUGGGCUUAAAGCGCGUGUAGGCGGGCCGGCACGUCGGACGCUGAAAUCCCCCGGCUUAACCGGGGAAGUGGCCCCGAUACGACCGGCCUGGAGGGGUGUAGGGGGCGCUGGAACUCACGGUGGAGCGGUGAAAUGCGUUGAGAUCGUGAGGAACGCCCGCGGCGAAAGCGAGCGCCUGGACCCUUUCUGACGCUGAGACGCGAAAGCCAGGGGAGCGAACGGGAUUAGAUACCCCCGUAGUCCCUGUCUCUUAUA